rnacentral:rRNA from 1 species
UACGUAGGGUGCGAGCGUGUCCGGAAUUAUUGGGCGUAAAGGGCUCGUAGGCGGUCUGUCACGUCAGGAGUGAAAACGUCGGGGCUCAACCCCGAGCCUGCUUCUGAUACGGGCAGACUGGAGGUAUGCAGGGGAGAACGGAAUUCCUGGUGUAGCGGUGAAAUGCGCAGAUAUCAGGAGGAACACCGGUGGCGAAGGCGGUUCUCUGGGCAUGUCCUGACGCUGAGGAGCGAAAGUGUGGGGAGCGAACAGG